GUAUUUACUUUGGAAGCACAUAUAGUAAAAUUGGAAUGAUACAGAGAUUAGCAUGGCCCCUGUGUAAGGAUGGCACACAAAUUCUGAAACAUUCCAUGUAUAC